GGGACUGUAGCUCAGCCUGGGAGAGCGCCCGACUGAAGAUCGGAAGGUCGCUGGUUCAAAUCCUGCCAGUCCCA
rnacentral:tRNA from 1 species